rfam:Felis catus isolate Cinnamon breed Abyssinian chromosome A2, whole genome shotgun sequence.
GCCUGGGUGGCUCAGUCGGUUGAGCGUCCGACUUUGGCUCAGGUCACGAUCUCACGGUUCAUGAGUUCGAGCCCCGUGUCAGGCU